AUGUCGCGUAAGAUGGCAGAAGUGACUGGAAGUGUGAAUAACAACGUGGCUUCAAACAAUGACAAUGGGGAAGGUCUACGAAAAUGGAUGAUUGUUAUGAGAGAUGUUGUUAAAGAUGGAUGUGGAAUGAUGUUCAUGAGAAGGGUGCAAGAUGAAUGCUGGGCUGCAAGGGUUGCGGGUUUGAUGAUGGAGGAAGAAGCUUGA